rnacentral:tRNA from 1 species
UGCGGAGUGUAUGGUAAAGGAAGCCGGGUUGACUCAUACUCAACAGAUGCAGGUUCAAGUCCUGCCUCCGCACA